rnacentral:lncRNA from 1 species
UGACAAGUCUUCAUAACAUACUGAUAAUUUUAUUGUAAAAUGAACAUUAUUAAUUGAUACUGAUUAAUUUAAUGUUUUACUCUCUUGUGUAACUUUAUUACCCUUUAUAUAAAUUUGACGAUUUUUUUACACCUGUUUUUUCACCUCGUCCAUUGAUCAAUGCAGAUGAUCCAUCACAACUUUGGAUCUAAAUGUUCAGCAUGUCAGACAUUUAUCAGACUAUCUGCAAGUGUGUACUGUACUCACACAAAUAAUUGAUUUUGUAAUUGUAAUUUUAUCAACAGCAAUAAAAUGUGUUGCAAACGUCAUUUUUUUUUACCAUUCAGAUACACACUUUAUGUCCGCAA